GGUAAGUAUUCUAUCCUAUUUAUUUUCAUGCAUUUUAUCAUUCUUACUUAAAAAAAAAUAAUAAUAAAUAUUUAUUAGCAUUUCCCUUUAGCAUAUAUGCUUCAUGUAUGUUUAUAUCCCUCAUGGAAAAGAUGACUAGUUGCUUGUUAAUGUUUCUCUAGUACCUAGUAUACAACUUAGUAUUUCUCUAAGUAUGGAUCACUUAGCUCACUUAAACUGCCAUGAACCUAAAAACUUUGUGGGUUGCAAGUGCUAGAACUAAGUCUAAGUUGUUGUGGGACAUGAGAUAGUAAGACAAGAGCUACUAUAAUAUUUUUCUAAGCAUGCAUGAUUAUCAGAGAUUUAUUCUUAAAAUGAUCAAAACCUUAAUUGUUCCUCAAUGGUGAUGAAUUCCUACCACAGCCAUAUCUACUUUACAUAAUUGCAACCUUUCCACAUAAGCUAUUUGCUUUGGGUUGAGUGUCGUCAAGUCUUGUUGACCCUUGUUAAGAGACUUUUCAUGCUCCUAAGAUCAAGAUCACGUACACACCACAUAUAUAUAUGCUGCUUCUACACUGGAAGUACGCAACCACAUGUAUUUCGCAUCCACUAAAUAGGUUGCUCCAUACUCUAAAUGUUAGAACAUCUCUCUAAGCAUUAUUUGGUAAAUGAGACAUCAAAAGGCUAGGCAAAAUGAAAUAAAAAGAUGGACAUACGCAAGUCCACAGAAAAAGAAAAUUGAGCACAUGAAAGCUCAUAUAUAUAAAAAAAAAAAGCUAGCCAUGUCUCAAUACAUAGAGAGUCUAUCAAAUAAAGGAGCAACCUAGUCCACCAUAUAUCACACUUGCACAUCUUGAUCUGGGAGUAUGACACUUCUCUUCAAGGAUCCGAGCUUUGACUUCGCAAUAUAUGCAAAGUAAGUAUGCUAUCUCCUUUCAUCCCUACCUUGAACUCCACA
rnacentral:lncRNA from 1 species